rnacentral:rRNA from 1 species
CAGCAGCCACGGUAACACGUAGGGUGCAAGCGUUAAUCGGAAUUACUGGGCGUAAAGCGUGCGCAGGCGGUUCGCUAAGACAGGUGUGAAAUCCCCGGGCUUAACCUGGGAACUGCAUUUGUGACUGGCGGGCUAGAGUAUGGCAGAGGGGGGUAGAAUUCCACGUGUAGCAGUGAAAUGCGUAGAGAUGUGGAGGAAUACCGAUGGCGAGGGCAGCCCCCUGGGCCAAUACUGACGCUCAUGCACGAAAGCGUGGGGAGCAAACAGGAUUAGAUACCCCUGUAGUCCCUGUCUCUUAUAC